UCCUCCUGCGAUUUUGUCUGCCGACGAGAAGCGAGCGAAUCCAGUUGUUUGCGAUGAUGACGACGACGGCCGCGGUGUACGGCUGCUGCUCGGCGGCGCUGCCGCCCUUCGCGGAGUUCACGGAGAGCUUCUCCGCUUGCCGGGCGCCUCCUCCUCCCCGCGUUUCCCUCGUCGCCUCCUCGAAGCUCAGGGCGACGACACCCGGGUUGAGGGUUUCCUGUCCUCGUAGGAGGCUGGUUGUAGCUGCUUGCUCCGGCGAGGUUAGUUCGGACGCGGCGGCGUCGCCAACGGAAGCCACUGUUGAUAUAAAGCUUCCAAGAAGAAGCUUGCUUGUUCAAUUUACAUGUAAUGCAUGUGGUGAAAGGACCAAGCGCUUGAUAAACAGAGUAGCCUAUGAAAGAGGAACAGUUUUUCUUCAGUGUGCAGGGUGCCAGGUGUACCACAAGUUUGUUGAUAAUCUUGGUCUAGUUGUUGAGUACGACGUAUGAGAAGAAAAUGGCGUACAAGAAAAAAAUGUGGUGAACAACGAUUCUGAAGAUUAAUCUAUUAUGAGAAGCCAUGUCGGUGAAAUUGAGGUUGGAAACUUGCAAGUUUUCGCACAUAUGCGCGGAGUAUUUAGGUGUAAUGCGUGUCUGCAGAUAUGAGUAUUUCUUCUACUACUACUUCUAUGCUUGUUGGACAAGUCUCCCAUGGGUUGCCUUUCGGCAGUUGCCUUGCAUGUUUCCAUAGGAAAAUUUUUCUGCUCCUUGCACAGUUGCACACAGCUAUGAAGCCUUGCCGCCACCGUCUUGGAUCGCUUUGGCUUGGCCCCUGCAGUUGCUCCGCGUCUCUAUCGCAAUUCCACGGUCCGCGUUGUCCUGCUUCCCUACGCCUAUUACCGUGUGCGUCCAGUUGUUGACGAAGAAUGGUUGACGUACGAGCUGGAUCGUCUCCGGAGAGAGAAGAAAGGGGAACUUUGUUGGUAAAAGAGAUGUUCGAUGUAUACUUAUGUAGUUCUAACACGUCCUUUUUUCUUUACAAGUAGGGAGCACUAUCUUAGGAAGAGAGGGCCAUGGCAUAUAGUGAUGAGUCGCUACUUGACGAGUCAUCAGUGGGUAUGGUUUGGUGGCUAAGAAACUAGGACAGGUAUCACUAUCACAAUCGGUUUCAUGGGGAAAAGGAAUCUCCAUCUCUCAUCAGUUGCCACACAUAUGGUUUUGAGCACUUAUCUCUUUGAGGAUUUAUUCCCACUUUACCGUCGUGACAUACUAGAUGUCGGUUAAAUGAGAUGCUAGACACUGUAAGUGUUAUUAAUCGUGGUUUAUGCUUA